rnacentral:lncRNA from 1 species
AAAGAAGAGAUUCGCACUAUUUCUAGCAGCUAUUAAGUAGGAGGCAUUGAUCUAAUUAGGUUCCUGUAGCCUGGAGACAACUGGCUAUAAACCUCCCAGUUACUCCUCGGUGGCUUAAUAGCUUUCAACCCUCCUUUUUGGUGAGUAGCAGUACUUUUGGGUGUUCCUGUUUUCCUGACCUCUGGCUGGCUACAAUUUAUUACUUUAUUUCCCCCUGACUUUGUUUAUCUGGACUGAACAACUUCUGGAUUGCCUGAUGGCCACUCUACUCCUUCUCUCUUCAUUAUGCUGAAAACCUUGUGACUGACCUGGACCAAAUCAACUCCUCAACAAUUCUCACUCUGACAAGUCUGGUUCUUGGGUCACUUGCUGAGGAGAACAUAAUACAGAAACUAGAGCAAUGCAAAUCAAGAUUCACUUGUGUACAUACACUUUCCAGGGUAGCACUCUCACCUUGAGAAUCCUUUGCUUGCCCUGAGGAUCAGAGAGAGUGUACAAAAGUUGAAACUCAGGGCCUGAGAUCCGGGGACCAUAAAUAUUAAAGCAGGGGUGGGGAAACUGUGGCCUCCAGGUCACAUUCAAUCCUCAAUCCAUUUUAUAGCCCUUCUGAUAUCUCAGAACUCCUAGACCCUGAAAAAAAUAUAUAUGGGAGGGGAGAUGAAAAAGUACAAGAAAUUUCCUUACUGCACACAACUGUCUCAAUUUAUAAGUAGCUUAUAUCUUCCUACCCUGCCUUCUUCUCCCUUAAGAGGUAAGAUGCAGAAGUGAAUACAACCGAAGUCUCCACACUGUCAUCAUAUUCAACAGGCUUUGGCCUCACCAAAAGUUCAUACUGGUAGAAGCCAGCUUUAAUGGACCUCGUUCCUUCAAGACACUCAGGUGGUCAAGGAGCUGGGGCUGAUGGAGGGUGCUCACCCCGACCCAGGCUUGAACUGCCGACGUUUCAAUCAGUAGGAUUUUCUGCAGCUGGCAGUUUAGGCUGCUGAGCUAAGCCUGGCCUCAGGACAAUAGAGUUCGAUGGUGAUAGUACACAGAGGUUGAAAAAACAGUGGGUGGAGGGUAUAUGCAUGAGAUGCAAAUAGUUCAUAAUAGGCUUAACUGGAUUCUGAGUAACUAUUGUGUAUACUCAUGUAUGUCUAGAAAUAAAAAAUAAAAGAUGUAAUAGAAUUUUAGUAAAAGAACAACCCAAAAAAGCUAGGUUGACUUACCCAUGGGUCUAGUAUUAUAGAGUUGGAAGAGACUUCAAGGGCCAUCAAGCCCUAUUCCCCAUCACACAAUCCAAACCUCCCCAGUAGAUGGCCAUCCAGACUCUGUUUAAAAGUCAAUAUUUGAGCACUGUACCUUAAUGCUUAUGAAUAAAACAAUCGCCCUCUCCUCUGAAUAAAGCGGAUAAAAAUGAGAAUUUAGUCGGUCUGAGGAGAAUAUAAAAAUAG